GAUGAACGCUAGCGAUAGGCUUAACACAUGCAAGUCGAGGGGCAUCGAGGGUAGCAAUACCUGUCGGCGACCGGCGCACGGGUGAGUAACGCGUAUGUAACCUGCCCGCAACAGAGGGAUAACCCGGCGAAAGUCGGACUAAUACCUCAUAAAACAGGGGUUCCGCAUGGGGCUAUUUGUUAAGGAUUUAUUGGUUGCGGAUGGGCAUGCGUACCAUUAGGUAGUUGGUGAGGUAACGGCUCACCAAGCCAUCGAUGGUUAGGGGUUCUGAGAGGAAGGUCCCCCACACUGGUACUGAGACACGGACCAGACUCCUACGGGAGGCAGCAGUGAGGAAUAUUGGUCAAUGGGCGAGAGCCUGAACCAGCCAAGUCGCGUGAAGGAUGACUGCCCCUAUGGGUUGUAAACUUCUUUUACAGGGGAAUAAAAUGAG
rnacentral:rRNA from 1 species